UCUCAAUAAAAAUUCGUUCACAACAAAAAGCUAUAAUCUCGCCUUUAUAUACGACCCAUCAUGUCACUCUUUUCUCCCUAUGCUCACUCUCACUCUCACUCACUCACACUCUAUUCUUCUAACUCUUCCUUCAUUCAACAGAAAUGGGCUCCAUAAGGGUACCUCGUGGGGCGGCAGAGGAUGCUUGCUCCGUCCUACUAGACGGUGGUGGUGUUUGGUGCAAGGGUAUUUCAGUAAAUAUAGGUAAAAGGUGACGCCGAAUAAAAACCAACAAAAGAAAAAGGCUUUGCAAUUGCACUCUCCCGAGUUUCUAAUUUGCAGAAUUGGGAGAGUGUUAUCGUUGCAUUGCGGGGAAUUGAGGGUAGCGGUCCGAAUCUGCCUUUCAUUACUUUAAUUACUAUUAGGUCCUUCAUUUUCUAUUAUUAUUACUUGUUUGCUUUUGUGUUAAUUAUGUUUUUGAUGUUUGUUAUGAUGAUGGAAUCGUGUGGGAUGGAUGUAAGAGAUGCAUACGAGGUUGCUUCAAGGUUAUUUGGUUUGGUCAAAUGGGUAUUAUGGGAAUUUAUGCGUUAAAGGCUUGGAUUGGUUAGUUUUAGGACUCAAUGCUACUGGCAUGCAUCGCUUACACCCAUCAAUGUAUUUUGCUUUUUUAUAUAUGGAUUUUGAUUUUACAUUAUUGCUUUGCUUUCAUUUGGAUCAUCAGCUUUUGAUUUCU
rnacentral:lncRNA from 1 species